rnacentral:rRNA from 1 species
GAUGAACGCUGGCGGCGUGCCUAAUACAUGCAAGUCGAGCGGACGGACGAGAAGCUUGCUUCUCUGAUGUUAGCGGCGAACGGGUGAGUAACACGUGGAUAACCUACCUAUAAGACUGGGAUAACUUCGGGAAACCGGAGCUAAUACCGGAUGAUAUUUUGAACCGCAUGGUUAAAGAGUGAAAGACGGUCUUGCUGUCACUUAUAGAUGGAUCAGCGCUGGAUUAGCUAGUUGGUAAGGGAACGGCUGACCAAGGCACGGAUGGAUAGCCGGCCUGAGAGGGUGGUCGGCCAGCCUGGUAGUGAAUGACGGACCGGCCUGCCACGGGAGGGAGGAGGCGGGGAGGUUUCGUGAAGGGCGGAAGCCAGACGGAUGCAGCGCGCGUGCGUGGUGAAGGUCGUCCGUCGGGUAAAAUACUCUUUUAGGGAAGAACGAAUGCGUAAGUAACUGUGCAGAUCUUGACGGUACCUAAUCAGAAAGCCACGGCUAACUACGUG